rnacentral:lncRNA from 1 species
CUGAGAAGUGAGGAGCCCCUCCGCCCAACAGCCGCCCCGUCUGAGAAGUGAGGAGCCUCUCUGCCUGGCAGCCACCCCGUCUGGGAAGUGAGGAGCGUCUCCGCCCGGCAGCCACCCCGUCCGGGAGGGAGGUGGGGGGGUCAGCCCCCCGCCCGGCCGGCCGCCCCUACUGGAAAGUGAGGAGCCCCUCUGCCCGGCCAGCCGCCCAGUCCGGGAGGGAGGUGGGGGGGUCAGCCCCCCGCCCGGCCGGCCGCCCCUACUGGAAAGUAAAGAAGGAUGUGUUUGCUCCCACUUCCACCAUGAUUGUAAGUUUCCUGAGGCCUCCCAAGCCAUGAUGAACUGUUGUAAAUCUCUCACUCCAGCAUGGCCCACCGUAUACCUGGAGGAAAGGAAUGUCCCUAUCUGAAGACACAGAGACACCAAGAAGAAUCCGAACAGGACUUGCUAAGUUCCCUCCUGUUUAUAACCAUUAGCUAAUACCCUUUUACCCAAUCAUACUUCUGCAUGACUGUUCAUGAACAUACACAGUUUUCCCUGUUUCUUUGGAUCUUAAUUUCUGAAGGUUCCCGGGUCACAUAAAGCUUGUUUUGUUCUCUUUUGUUUGAGACAAGGUCUCACUCUGUCAGCCAGGCUGGAGUGCAGUGGUAUGAGCAUGGUUCGCUGCAGCUUUGACCUCCUCCCACUGGGGAUCUUCCCAAGCAAUCCUCCCACCUUAGCCUCCCAAGUAGCUGGAGCUACGGGUGCAUGCCACCACACCAAGCUCAUUUUUAAACUUUUUGUAGAGAUGGGGGUCUCGCUAUGUUGCUCAGGCUAGUCUUGAACUCCUGGGCUCAGGCAAUCAUCCUACCUCAGCCUCUAAAAGUGCUGGGAUUACAGGUGUGAGCCACUGCGCCCAGCCCCUGUCACAUAAAACUUACUUCAAAUAAAUUUGUUAAACUCUUC